AUACGUGCCAGCAGCCGCGGUAAUACGUAUGGUGCAAGCGUUAUCCGGAUUUACUGGGUGUAAAGGGAGCGUAGACGGAUAGGCAAGUCUGAAGUGAAAGCCCGGGGCUCAACCCCGGGACUGCUUUUGAAACUGCCGGACUAGAUUGCAGGAGAGGUAAGUGGAAUUCCCAGUGUAGCGGUGAAAUGCGUAGAUAUUAGGAGGAACACCAGUGGCGAAGGCGGCUUACUGGACUGUAAAUGACGCUGAGGCUCGAAAGCGUGGGGAGCA
rnacentral:rRNA from 1 species